rnacentral:rRNA from 1 species
UGGGGAAUAUUGGGCAAUGGGCGCAAGCCUGACCCAGCCAUGCCGCGUGCGUGAAGAAGGUCUUAGGGUUGUAAAGCGCUUUCAGCGGGGAAGAUGAUGACGGUACCCGCAGAGGAAGCCCCGGCUAACUCCGUGCCAGCAGCCGCGGUAAUACGGAGGGGGCUAGCGUUGUUCGGAAUUACUGGGCGUAAAGGGCGUGUAGGCGGUCCGUUAAGUCAGUGGUGAAAUCCCCGGGCUCAACCUGGGAACGGCCUCUGAUACUGGCGGACUAGAGUCCGGGAGAGGGUAGUGGAAUUCCCAGUGUAGAGGUGAAAUUCGUAGAUAUUGGGAAGAACACCAGUGGCGAAGGCGGCUACCUGGACCGGUACUGACGCUGAGGCGCGAAAGCGUGGGGAGCAAACAGGAUUAGAUACCCCCGUAGUCC